GUAAUAUAAGAUACGGUCUCUUAACUUUUAGCUAAAAAAAACUAAGAGACGUCUCUUAAAUAAGAUAUAUAAUAUAAGAGACGUCUCUUAGCUUUUUUUAGUUAAAAGUUAAUAGACCGUAUCUUAUAUUAC
rfam:Brassica napus, WGS project CCCW01000000 data, contig: 26630